CAGGUCACUCCUACGGGAGGCAGCAGUGGGGAAUAUUGGACAAUGGGCGAAAGCCUGAUCCAGCAAUGCCGCGUGUGUGAAGAAGGCCUUCGGGUUGUAAAGCACUUUUAUCAGGAGCGAAAUACUACUGGCUAAUAACCGGUGGGGCUGACGGUACCUGAGGAAUAAGCACCGGCUAACUUCGUGCCAGCAGCCGCGGUAAUACGAAGGGUGCAAGCGUUAAUCGGAAUUACUGGGCGUAAAGCGUGCGUAGGCGGUGAGUUAAGUCUGUUGUGAAAUCCCCGGGCUCAACCUGGGAAUGGCAAUGGAUACUGGCUCGCUAGAGUGUGAUAGAGGAUGGUGGAAUUCCCGGUGUAGCGGUGAAAUGCGUAGAGAUCGGGAGGAACAUCAGUGGCGAAGGCGGCCAUCUGGAUCAACACUGACGCUGAGGCACGAAAGCGUGGGGAGCAAACAGGAUUAGAUACCCUGGUAGUCCACGCCCUAAACGAUGCGAACUGGAUGUUGGUCUCAACUCGGAGAUCAGUGUCGAAGCUAACGCGUUAAGUUCGCCGCCUGGGGAGUACGGUCGCAAGACUGAAACUCAAAGGAAUUGAC
rnacentral:rRNA from 1 species